rnacentral:hammerhead_ribozyme from 1 species
AUCCAGCUGAUGAGUCCCGAAUAGAAUGAAACGUGCGUCAAACUGGAU